AGAGUUUGAUCCUGGCUCAGGAUGAACGCUAGCGAUAGGCUUAACACAUGCAAGUCGAGGGGCAUCACGAAUUAGCAAUAGUUUGGUGGCGACCGGCGCACGGGUGCGUAACACGUAUACAACCUACCUUCAAUUGGGGGAUAACCUGGAGAAAUUCGGACUAAUAUCCCAUAGUAAACGGAAGAGGCAUCUUUUUUGUUUUAAAGAUUUAUUGAUUGGAGAUGGGUAUGCGUAGGAUUAGCUAGUUGGUAAGGUAACGGCUUACCAAGGCGACGAUCCUUAGGGGUUCUGAGAGGAAGGUCCCCCACACUGGUACUGAGACACGGACCAGACUCCUACGGGAGGCAGCAGUGAGGAAUAUUGGUCAAUGGGCGAGAGCCUGAACCAGCCAAGUCGCGUGAAGGAUGACUGUCUUAUGGAUUGUAAACUUCUUUUGUAGGGGAAUAAAGAACGGUACGUGUACCGUAGUGAAUGUACCCUACGAAUAAGCAUCGGCUAACUCCGUGCCAGCAGCCGCGGUAAUACGGAGGAUGCAAGCGUUAUCCGGAUUUAUUGGGUUUAAAGGGUGCGUAGGCGGUAUUACAAGUCAGGGGUGAAAUCUUGGUGCUUAACAUUAAAAUUGCCUUUGAAACUGUGGUACUUGAGUGUAAAAGAGGUAGGCGGAAUGUGUUGUGUAGCGGUGAAAUGCAUAGAUAUAACACAGAACCCCGAUUGCGAAGGCAGCUUACUAUCAUACAACUGACGCUGAUGCACGAAAGCGUGGGGAUCAAACAGGAUUAGAUACCCUGGUAGUCCACGCAGUAAACGAUGAUUACUAGCUGUUAGCGAUAUACUGUUAGUGGCUAAGCGAAAGCGAUAAGUAAUCCACCUGGGGAGUACGUUCGCAAGAAUGAAACUCAAAGGAAUUGACGGGGGCCCGCACAAGCGGAGGAACAUGUG
rnacentral:rRNA from 1 species